AUGAACGCUGGCGGCGUGCCUAAUCCCUGCAAGUCGCGCGAACAGACGAGGAGCUUGCUCCUCUGACGUUAGCGGCGGACGGGUGAGUAACACGUGGAUAACCUACCUAUAAGACUGGGAUAACUUCGGGAAACCGGAGCUAAUACCGGAUAAUAUAUUGAACCGCAUGGUUCAAUAGUGAAAGACGGUUUUGCUGUCACUUAUAGAUGGAUCCGCGCCGCAUUAGCUAGUUGGUAAGGUAACGGCUUACCAAGGCAACGAUGCGUAGCCGACCUGAGAGGGUGAUCGGCCACACUGGAACCGAGACACGGUCCAGACUCCUACGGGAGGCAGCAGUAGGGAAUCUUCCGCAAUGGGCGAAAGCCUGACGGAGCAACGCCGCGUGAGUGAUGAAGGUCUUCGGAUCGUAAAACUCUGUUAUUAGGGAAGAACAAAUGUGUAAGUAACUAUGCACGUCUUGACGGUACCUAAUCAGAAAGCCACGGCUAACUACGUG
rnacentral:rRNA from 1 species